GAACCAGCCAAAUCGCGUGAAGGAAGACUGCCUUAUGGGUUGUAAACUUCUUUUAUACAGGAAUAAAAAAGGGGACGUGUCCCUUAUUGCAUGUACUGUAUGAAUAAGCAUCGGCUAACUCCGUGCCAGCAGCCGCGGUAAUACGGAGGAUGCGAGCGUUAUCCGGAUUUAUUGGGUUUAAAGGGUGCGCAGGCGGGCUUUUAAGUCAGCGGUGAAAUCUCGGGGCUUAACUCCGAAACUGCCGUUGAAACUGGGAGUCUUGAGUAUGGAUGAAGUAGGCGGAAUUCGUUGUGUAGCGGUGACAUGCUUAGAUAUAACGAGGAACUCCGAUUGCGUAGGCAGCUUACUAAGCCAUAACUGACGCUCAAGCACGAAAGCGUGGGGAUCAAACAGGAUUAGAUACCCUGGUAGUCCACGCCGUAAACGAUGAUUACUAGUUGUAUGCGAUAUACCGUAUGUGACUAAGCGAAAGCGAUAAGUAAUCCACCUGGGGAGUACGCCGGCAACGGUGAAACUCAAAGGAAUUGACGGGGGCCCGCACAAGCGGAGGAACAUGUGGUUUAAUUCGAUGAUACGCGAGGAACCUUACCCGGGCUUGAAAUGUACAUGAAUUACGUUGAAAGAUGUAAGCCAGCAAUGGCAUGUAUGUAGGUGCUGCAUGGUUGUCGUCAGCUCGUGCCGUGAGGUGUCGGCUUAAGUGCCAUAACGAGCGCAACCCCCAUUGUUAGUUACUAACAGGUUAAGCUGAGGACUCUAAUAAGACUGCCGUCGUAAGAUGCGAGGAAGGUGUGGAUGACGUCAAAUCAGCACGGCCCUUACGUCCGGGGCGACACACGUGUUACAAUGGGAGGUACAAAGGGCUGCUACCUGGUGACAGGAUGCUAAUCCCCAAAGCCUCUCCCAGUUCGGAUCGGAGUCUGCAACUCGACUCCGUGAAGCUGGAUUCGCUAGUAAUCGCGCAUCAGCCAUGGCGCGGUGAAUACGUUCCCGGGCCUUGUACACACCGCCCGUCAAGCCAUGGGAGCCGGGGGUAUCUGAAGUGCGUAACCGCAAGGAGCGUCCUAGGGUAAAACUGGUGACUGGGGCU
rnacentral:rRNA from 1 species